ACCAAAUAUUUCUCUCAGACAUAUUCCUUAGGGAAAAUUAAGAUGCACAGUAUGCUUCAAGAUGAUGGCCAAGAACAACCAACUCAACGAGCCUUCAGGAAUUCAUGAUUUGAAUAUCAUGUUCAAGGGCUACAGACAUCAGCAAACUCGAGAAAAGAAGGUUUGCUCUGGGAGAUUCUACAUGUGACCUGUUUAUAUGUAAUUAUAUUAUCUAUUACUCAAGUAUUUGUCUUGUGCUGUCUAAAUUAUAAGCUUCUCAACUGUUUGCCUUGAGUGAGAUGUGCACGCUAAAGCC
rnacentral:lncRNA from 1 species